UACGUAGGGUGCAAGCGUUUGUCCGGAAUUAUUGGGCGUAAAGAGCUCGUAGGCGGUCUGUCGCGUCGGCUGUGAAAUCCCGGAGCUCAACUCCGGGUCUGCAGUCGAUACGGGCAAACUGGAGUACUGCAGGGGAGACUGGAAUUCCUGGUGUAGCGGUGAAAUGCGCAGAUAUCAGGAGGAACACCGGUGGCGAAGGCGGGUCUCUGGGCCGAUACUGACACUGGAGGAGCGAAAGCGUGGGGAGCGAACAGG
rnacentral:rRNA from 1 species